rnacentral:rRNA from 1 species
UUUUUGAAAAUAAUUUAAAGUNUAAUNUGCCCNCUGAAUAAAUUUAAAGGGCUGCAGUAUAUUGACUGUACAAAGGUAGCAUAAUCAUUAGUCUUUUAAUUGAAGACUUGUAUGAACGAUUUGAUGAGAUAUAAACUGUCUCUUUAUUAAUAAUAGAAUUUAAUUUUUUAGUCAAAAAGCUAAAAUUUUUUUAAAAGACGAGAAGACCCUAUAGAGUUUAAUUUUUUUUUAUUAAUUAAAAUUAUAUAAAAUUUAAAUUUAAUUAAUAAAAAAAAAUUUUAUUGGGGUGAUAGAAAAAUUAAAUAAACUUUUUUUAAAAAAUUAACAUUAAUUUAUGAAUUUAUGAUCCAUAAUUUAUGAUUAUAAGAUUAAAUUACCUUAGGGAUAACAGCGUAAUUUUUUUUUUUAGUUCAAAUAAAAAAAAAAGUUUGCGACCUCGAUGUUGGAUUAAGAUAAAAUUUAAAUGCAAAAGUUUAAAAUUUUGAUCUGUUCGAUCAUUAAAAUCUUACA